rnacentral:tRNA from 1 species
GGAGCCGUGCCUGAAACUAAGGGCCACUUUGAUAGAGUGGACCAUGGGGGUUAGAAUCCCCCCGACUCCU